CCGCCCAAAAAGGAUUUACUCUGUCCUUUUUUGUAUGGACGUCUAUGAGAGAGUGUCGAAUAUAAGUGAGGCUAAUUUGAUCGAAUAGAAGUUUAGUCUGUUACACAUAUGUUAAUGUAUAAGUGGAUGCACGUGGCCUUCCGGCGACAUUGAGAAAAACAAAGAUCUGCCCUCUCAUUGGCUAGAAUGGUCCCACCUGAUCUCACUUGCCUACGCUCAAUUGUGGACAUGUAUUUCCAUUGUUAGAGCGGUCACUCGGCUAUCUUGUCAAUAUAAUAGAUAAUCUUUGGCGUUGUGCAGUUGUAGACUACGGAAACCGAGAGAAGCUCAAAUUUAGAGAUCCAUGAAAAAAUACUCCUUUGAGCUACCUUUCACAUCUCAAUGAUGGUCUAAGGGAGAAGAUAAAAUGUAAUUUGGUAACGCAUAGGAAGAAUGAAAUAUGACAUGUAAUAUCCACACUUGGGUGAGUUAAAAUAUUAUGAAUAAUAAAAAAGUAACAUUUGAAAAGAAAAGUAUAAUUUACUAUUCCGAAUAUUUAAUCCAACCAGAUUGAUACCACCCCCUCUAGUCUGAUUCAUCUCAAACUUUCGUCCUCCCUGUCACUAAUUUUAGAAUUUAGGGAAAGAGGAAUACCUAGUCAAUUGUACAACUGAAGUGUGUCUUCCGCAUUUAACCCGACCCCACUUGAAUCGGAGAGGUGCGGGGGAUGCCCUAAUCGAAAUCCACGUCUUUUGAGUCCGGGGAACAGUAGGUUAACUGCCGUGCUCAGGGGCAGAACGAUAGAUUUUUACCUCGUCAGCUCGGGGAUUCGAUCCCGCAACCUUUCGGUUACUGGCCCAACGCUACCUGACCGUAUUGUAUUGAGCCUUCUGUGGUAAAAUUAUUAUAUAAAUCAUAUUUGAUUGACUGUACAUAGUAUAAGUCAUGUGAAUGAGAGCCUCAUUAACAUUAGCACAAAGACAAUGGGUUUGUCGACGUUGCAGCCGACAGUGCAGGCGACUGCUGACUGACUGAGCUACAAAUCACCAUGCAUCUUUAAUAACUACUCAUUAGUAUUUGUAGAUCAGUCAGGCAGUAACCAUUUACUCAUAAUGCAUCAUGGAUUUGAUGCUCUCGAACACGGCCAAUAUCUGUAUACAUACAGGUGAAAACAAGACCAGGUUAUGUUGUUGUGGGGACCAAAAUAUUACAAAAUUGGUACACAUUCAGUGAACAUAAUGUACAGUCUUUAAUUCAGUGCUUUAAAAAAAUGUAUUACAUAGUAAGGUUUGAUAGUUUAUCUUGGUCAACAUGUAUGCAUUUCAUCAUCAACAACACCAGUGUCACACCCCUGUUUUUAUUGGGCGCUCAGCAAUAUUUAAGCAGUAGGAAUGUUCAUCCCUUAAUAAAGGCCUGGACAAUAGGGGGCCUCUGCCGUAACUGUUGCUGGCGGGCUGGUCAGGUGCAAUGCCGUCAAAACAUCAGCUUUACCCAACACAGGGUCACAUUAUUUCACAGACAAACAGACGCGACCUCCACUAUAUGACAACGCCACUCCAUCCACAGGGACUAAACCAACAGCAGACCUUGAGCAAGAGGCACAUCGCAGAUAAUACAGUAGCAAAGGAGACAUCAUAGAGAUUAUAGUGUACUUUUGGAGCUGCAUUCAGUAAUUGGACCUAUACCAACUAUUGUUAUCAGUUGAAUUGGAUCUCUUUUGGUCAGACCACAUGAACAUGAUUGGGAAAACUCUUUUGCUAGUCUGCCUGGCUGUCUUCUUUUCUGCAGUAGACGCAGCAGACCAGUCCAGACUCUACAGGAGGCCAUCUUGUGGGGAUAUGAGCCAAUCCCAGGCAUGCCCGCUCAACUACUCCCCAGUGUGCGGUAAUGAUGGAAACACUUAUCCCAACGAGUGUUCUCUGUGUGUUCA